rnacentral:rRNA from 1 species
GUGGGGAAUCUUCGGCAAUGGGGGCAACCCUGACCGAGCAACGCCGCGUGAGUGAAGAAGGUUUUCGGAUCGUAAAGCUCUGUUGUAAGAGAAGAACGUGUGUGAGAGUGGAAAGUUCACACAGUGACGGUAACUUACCAGAAAGGGACGGCUAACUACGUGCCAGCAGCCGCGGUAAUACGUAGGUCCCGAGCGUUGUCCGGAUUUAUUGGGCGUAAAGCGAGCGCAGGCGGUUUAAUAAGUCUGAAGUUAAAGGCAGUGGCUUAACCAUUGUUCGCUUUGGAAACUGUUAGACUUGAGUGCAGAAGGGGAGAGUGGAAUUCCAUGUGUAGCGGUGAAAUGCGUAGAUAUAUGGAGGAACACCGGUGGCGAAAGCGGCUCUCUGGUCUGUAACUGACGCUGAGGCUCGAAAGCGUGGGGAGCAAACAGG